AUAUAGCCUUGGAGUAUCCUUUUUGAGGACAAUAUUCUCAAAACUUUACUUUUAGUGUGGGGGGAGGGAGGCUUGUUUUGUUUUUUUUAAUCUUCAAAAUGGUUUACAAAUGUUAAUGAAUACUCAGGAAGAUAUGCAUAUACUUUCUCUCUUUUUUAGACRUGAAUCCAAAGCAUAGAGCGGGACUCAGUUGCUGACCCGUUCAUGUUCAACACCCGUUGCGGUGCCUUAGGUAGCCUCAGGCAUCUGCAUUAGGCUGGCGGAUAUGAUGCAGACCUGAGGGAGAACAGACAGCUUUCUGGAGUAGGUGCUGGGUGACAGACAGGGAGCAUUCACAGAGUCUAAAAUGACAUUACAUAGCUAUCUUUGAGCAAUUAAAUCCUCCUUUACUUUUCCUCCUUCACUUUAUCUAUGGUUACGUGGAAUUUCUUUGGUAAGAUCUGCAAUAGAAUUUGGGAUUUUUCUAGUUCUUCAGUGCCAUGCUCAAAGUACUAGGUGGUCUCUGCAAUCCAUCUUGAUAGAGCUGUGUCAUGUAGCAGAAAUACUCUUGCAGUCRCAUCGUAGAAACGUAAAUUAAUAAUGGAAACUUUUUCCAGUGCUGAAUAAAAACAAACAGUAAGUGUCAAGCAUUAAUUAACAAUGUAAUGAGAAUAUAAUGAGACUUCAGUUCAGGCAUGUGCUUUUUUUUAACGGAAUGUCUUUUCUUUGUUGUAUUGCAGAAGAAGAAAUGGUGACUGAGUUGUACAGAAGAACCAGGACAAUCCAAAAAGGGCAGGUGGCUGCUGGGAAGCUACUACAGGAAAGGAGUUUACUAACGUGUUCAAGACUUGGAAUUACGCAGUGGAGCAGUAUAUUUUAGAAACUAUGGAGAAAGUUCAGAACAACAUGGUUAAAAGGUGCGUUGCUCAGAAACAUAGACCUUUUGCUUAGCUUAUUUCACUUAGAUUGUGCCCCAUGGAAUUCUAACCCCAUAAGCUAUCAUUUUAAAUACGAAAUUGAAAGAGACUGUCUGAAAUCCACAUAUUAUCCGUACUUGUUUUUUUCCUAUUGGAAAAUUGAUUUUAUUUUUGGAGAUAUUAUCUCCUACUACUUUAAUUAUCUGGAUUUGUUUGUUUGUUUGUUUGUUUGUUAAAGGGCCAUGCUCAAGAGAAAGUGAAGGGAAACGCUCAAUUGAUCUCAAAAAAAAGAAAGUAAUUAAUGUUAAGUGUAUUGACUGUGUAAUGCUGAGAUAGUGUCUGUAGGAAAAUGACCAGACAGCUUAAAGAAGAAGUAAGAAUAUUUUUAGCAUGCUGAAAAUGGGGGAGGGCGAGGAGGGCAGUGAAAAAUAUUUCACCCUUCCCUUGUGAUUCUGUGGUUUUGUCUGCAUCUUUUUUUUUUUUCUCCCUACAAUCAGCCAUGUGUUUCAGUUGUGAUUGCUGUCACUGUAGAGGCAUGUAGGUUGUCUCAUUUGCCUAAUAUAAAAAAUAUGUAUGUAUAAUAAUACUUUUUUAAUGCUUUCCAUCUGGGGAUUUCAAAGACA
rnacentral:lncRNA from 1 species